rnacentral:rRNA from 1 species
GGAAUCUUGGACAAUGGGGGCAACCCUGAUCCAGCCAUGCCGCGUUAGCGAUGAAGGCCUUAGGGUGGUAAAGCUCUUUCAGCGGGGAAGAUAAUGACGGUACCCGCAGAAUAAGCCCCGGCUAACUCCGUGCCAGCAGCCGCGGUAAUACCGAGGGGGCUAGCGUUGUUCGGCAUUCCUGGGCGUAAAGGGCGCGUAGGCGGGCGCAUAAGUCGGGGGUGAAAUCCCGGGGCUCAACCCCGGAACUGCCUCCGAUACUGUGUGUCUUGAGGACGGGAGAGGUGAGUGGAAUUCCGAGUGUAGAGGUGAAAUUCGUAGAUAUUCGGAGGAACACCGGUGGCGAAGGCGGCUCACUGGCCCGAUCCUGACGCUGAGGCGCGAAAGCGUGGGGAGCAAAC